GAUGAACGCUGGCGGCGUGCUUAACACAUGCAAGUCGAGCGAAGCAGUUAAGUUGAUUUCUUCGGAUUGAUUCUUAAUUGACUGAGCGGCGGACGGGUGAGUAACGCGUGGGCGACCUGCCCCAUACCGGGGGAUAACAGCUGGAAACGGCUGCUAAUACCGCAUAAGCGCACAGAGCUGCAUGGCUCAGUGUGAAAAACUCCGGUGGUAUGGGAUGGGCCCGCGUCUGAUUAGGCAGUUGGCGGGGUAACGGCCCACCAAACCGACGAUCAGUAGCCGGCCUGAGAGGGCGACCGGCCACAUUGGGACUGAGACACGGCCCAAACUCCUACGGGAGGCAGCAGUGGGGAAUAUUGCACAAUGGGGGAAACCCUGAUGCAGCGACGCCGCGUGAGCGAAGAAGUAUUUCGGUAUGUAAAGCUCUAUCAGCAGGGAAGAUAAUGACGGUACCUGACUAAGAAGCCCCGGCUAACUA
rnacentral:rRNA from 1 species